UACGGAGGAUGCGAGCGUUAUCCGGAUUUAUUGGGUUUAAAGGGUGCGUAGGCGGCUUUUUAAGUCAGCGGUGAAAUUUUGCAGCUUAACUGUAACAGUGCCGUUGAUACUGGGGAGCUAGGAUUUGGUUGCUGUGGGUGGAAUGUGUGGUGUAGCGGUGAAAUGCUUAGAGAUCACACAGAAUAUCGACUGCGAAGGCAGCUCACAAAGCCAAGAUUGACGCUGAGGCACGAAAGUGUGGGGAUCAAACAGGAUUA
rnacentral:rRNA from 1 species